CGUAAGGCGCCGAAUGAGUCAUUAAAAAAUUAACAUCAUCCGAUCCCUAGUCGGCAUAGUUUAUGGUUAAGACUACGACGGUAUCUGAUCGUCUUCGAUCCCCUAACUUUCGUUCUUGAUUAAUGAAAACAUCCUUGGCAAAUGCUUUUCGCAGUAGUUAGUCUUCAAUAAAUCCAAGAAUUUCACCUCUGACAAUUGAAUACUAAUGCCCCCAACUAUCCCUAUUAAUCAUUACGUCGAUCCUAGAAACCAACAAAAUAGGGUCAAACGUCCUAUUCAUUAUUCCAUGCUAAUGUAUUCAAGCGUGUGCCUGCUUUAAACNCUCUAAUUUUUUCAAGUAACAGUCCUGAUUCCCAUGACACCAAAUUAAUGACAUCAUAG
rnacentral:rRNA from 1 species